CCGACCUUAGCUCAGUUGGAAGAGCGCGAGACUGUAACGGAUAAACAUAUGAUUACACAAUCAAAUCUUGAGGUCGCCUGUUCGAACCAGGCAGGUCGGA
rnacentral:tRNA from 1 species